rnacentral:rRNA from 1 species
AUGACAUACUUACGGGCUACGUGCGUACGGUAUCCCCCUCCUCGAAUACUCAGCUGCCGGAAACAAGGUCGCCGCCUACCUCCUCCCUCUGCCCCCCACGGCCGGAAAGGAGCUCCGGGCCCCGACCCCGCGCCCCGUCUCUGUGCCGCCGCCGUCGACGACGCCUCUGUGCAGCCGCCGCCGGCCUCUGCACCCGACUCCAACCUGUGCCCCCGCCGUCAACCUCCUCUCCAGACAUCCAGCGGCAAGAGUAAAGGAAUAUGCCUUCACUGCAAAAAGCUCUGCCUCCAGAACUUGCUGAUAAUGCACUCAGAUGCGGCGAGGGGCCUUAUCAAUCACAUCAUAUACGAGUCCGAGAAGAUGACAGGGCGCAAGUUCUCGGGUUAA